CCUAAACCUAAACUUAUCCAACUUAAAUCCAUUGCUACGAGUCCUAUCCUGCUCGGAUAUUAUAAAAACUUUAUCUGUAUCGCCUACUGUAAGGUAUCUGCUAUAAUUUAAGAAGCUUGAAAACUGAAUUACUAAAGCUUUGAUUUCAAACUAUAGGUACAAGUACUGUACUGUACAGCAGAACCUUAUAGUUUAUUGUCAAUGAUAAGAAUUACAAACAUGAUGAAUACUUUAUGCAUCUCUUUAAAUAUAUGUAAGAAGGCUUUUCAGUGACUCCAAAUGAUUCCACCUAUUAGACAAUCCUGUAUAUAAAACAUGACUUAACCAGUCCCACUGGUUGAACAAUGAAAUUCAUAGAUGUGCUCUUGACACUUUUACAUUCAUUGUUGGAACCGAGAUCCUCUGUAAGGCUACUUGCCAGUUAUAAAUUCUGUACUGUACAUGUACUGCCAACAUGAAUGAAAUGGUACAAAUAUAUUAAUGCCAUUACUAGUUUUAAAUGUGAAAACUAACUCUUACUUGGUGUAUUUGUCAAUUCCAGAACCCAAGAGCCAAAUACAUUAAUUUACGAGUAUGUGGAAAAUAUAAUUCAAAUGACCAAUCCUGAAAGUGGUUGAACUGGAUACUGCAAGGGUGACUGUCAAGUGAGCAGUGUAUCUUAGAAGACCAUCCAAGGACUCAGACUCCCACUCUGUCUCCAACCUCCCCAGAGGCUGUGUGAGAGUGACUCAGAAUGAUGUCUCCACUCCACCCACAAGAGUCCCCUUAGCCCUGAAGGGGACAUGUGAUGAUAACCAGGCUUGUCUUAAUGAUGUGAUGACAAUGGACGGAGGAUUUUGACAACCCUACUGAGACAAUUGGAGUUAUGGUGUUCAUUUUGAAAUUCAGCAGACCAACUGGAAAGAUAUUUUUUGGAGUGAGUAUGCCAGAGUUAAAGUAUAUUACUUUAUAAGUGACUAUAGAAUAUAUAAUUACAUAGGGAGUAGGGGCGAGAUGAUGCAUAAAUUUGAAACAGGUGUGAAAAAAGCCCUGUGGUGCAUUUAAAGAAAUUUUCAAGAGUAUCCAGGACACAACUUCCCUCUGAGUACCUUACUAAGUACAAAACAUAUGCAAUUGAUCUUUCAUUGCCUAGUUAGUCUGGUUACUUUUGAGUUUCAAUUCAUACUCAAAAUUUCCCAUCAUCCAAAUACCCAGGAAAUAUCUUUAAAUUUUGAACACACUUAUACUAAAAUACCCGGUACCUCAUAGUUUCUUUCCACUCUGUAGAGUUAAUAUGGCAAACCAUCACCUGAUAACGUAGACUCUGUAAUUCCAUGUCCUGACUAUUUGAUGAGCAAUUGACCAUGCCAUCCAGGUUGAGAGUUAUGGAGGGAGGAGCUCUUACUAGUCCACACACCGGAGUUAAAGGCGAAGUGGUCUGAGAAAAGAUAAUUUGACCCUGACAUCCAAUGUUCUAACCAAGUCUACAGUAUUUAUACAUAAUCAGGCAAGUCUAAGUAAGGGUAGAAAAUCCAUGGUCCCUAAGGUCUUAACAUUGGUAACAAGAAUUUAUCUGAAGGUUAGUUACCCUUCCCCCUUGUUGUACCUUAAGUCCUAAGAAAGAUACCGUGCAUACAAGAGUUAUCGUAUAUAAUUUGGGGGUUUCAUAUCCAAAAUAUAUAAGAACGACAAUACACUGUACUGUACUAAAAAAUGCCUACCUGUGCACUGAGAAGAUACGGAGAUGGGAAAUUGGUGGGACUAUGUUCAAGUCUAUGGAUGAAAUUUGGUGUAAAAUUCUUAUUUCCCAAUUUCUCACCCUUUUCUCUGAAAUGAUAGAAUUUGUCUCAGUCCUUUACACUCUUUCCAGCUACCACAUGACAAACAAGACUUUAAACAGGUGUUGGAUUAAAAAAUGAAGGAUUCAUCCUGAAAUCCCUUUGUCUGGUAACUCUCAUAAUGUAGCUAGGCAACUUACAAAGGAUUCUUAUACAGUACUGGUAAUGUAUUCUUAUAUAAAGGCCUCUCAAUAUCGGUCAAGGUUAAUCAAAACUAUUUGGUUACACCAAUCUUACAUCUCUUUCCAUCACACCAUGAGUCUCAAAUGAGGGUGGAGUGGAUGAAGAGGAAUGCACUAAGGUGGUAUGGACAUGUGCAGAGGUUGCAUGAAGAUACUGACAAAAAAAAGUUUAUGAUAGCAAGAGAGAGGGGAAUGUUGGGAGGGGUAGAUCAAUUGCCACCUAGGAGAAAAGAGUUAGAGAGUUUGUUAAAGAGAGAGAGCAGGAAGGGGAGGAAGAGUGUUUGAGAGAACAAGUGAGGUGUGCAAGGAUAAAAUGGCCUGGAGACACUUCUGUUGAGGAGUUCCUGGGAGGGAACAAGGCCUCGGCGAUAUUGAUUCAUUGAUCAAAACAUAGGUGCCGGAGUGGCACUCCGGUGAGCUCCGGCAGCACUGCACUCCUGGUUGUACCUGAUUGGGGAUAACCAGCAGAAUAUAGUUGUCCCAUGUUGAGUAGUGACCCAUAAAUAUUGAUAUUACCAGUAAUAACGUUUGUUAUGUGGGUUGUGAGUACAUCAUUCUUAUGUACUGUACUACCAACUGAGUUCUAGUAAAUGUUCCAUGUUGUUCAUUCCAAAUAACAUGAGAUUAUAAGUGAUGGGUUAAUAUGUGUUGUUGACAAGUGUGUAAAAUAACCAUCUUAUUUGUCAAAGAAAUAAUAUAACAUUUGUUUAAUGAUAUAACCAAGUAAUUGAAGAUCUAUUUUAUGAAUUGUACAGUAAGUCUUUGGGGUCUAGUCUUAGCCGAGUGUGUUAAAUUGACAUCUUAUCCACUCUUAAUCUAAUAAAAAUUGAUUUAGUAAA